AAAUUAAGAUCUUUUGUAGACAAUAGAAGCAUAAUAGCUGGCAAAGUUAGACUGUAAACCUACAGUAAAUGAAAAAUAAAUAUAAUCUCCAAUUAAAACUAUUGGCAAGCCGGUAGCAUGGAAAAGUUAACCCUCAUGAUCCCACAACAUUAGCAAGGGAAAUUGAUAUUCAGAGCAAGUUCAAUGGUUAAAGCUACAACAAUUAGGUACAAGUAUAAAUUACUUUGUGUCUCUAUUUACCUUACAUAGGGAGAACGUAUAGUAUGCACAAAAGAAAUUGUUGGCAUCUCUUGGAUGAAGAUAGAAACUGAAG
rnacentral:lncRNA from 1 species